AGGUUGGGGUGGUCUGAGCUAGUCUGAAGGAGGACAGUCAGCUGACUUCUCCUUUAUCUCUCUUUCCCAGGAUAGCAGGUUCCCUUGGUGUAUUACAGUUUCUGAAGUGUUGAUUCCCUUUUCAAUUGAUUCCACAGAUGACAGUCCUGACGUUUAAAAAAUUGCCAGAUAACCUUUAAUUUUUUUUUUUUUAACAGAACACAAACUUAAGCCAGAUUGCCUAGGAUUGAACCUUGGCCUCUCACUUCCUAGACGAGUGGCCUUGGCUAGUUAACCACCUUCGUGAGCCUCAGUUUUGUCAUCUGUAAAAUGGGAGUCAUAAGUGUCUACCUCACAGAGCUGUGAUUGAAAGGAUAAAUAGCACCUUGCACAUAGCGGUGUAGAAGUGCUUGUUAUUGUUAAUAUUUUAUUUACCUUCACGCAGGUAACAGCCACAACAUCUGCCCACUCUUCCCCACACCUUACUGUCCCUUGAAAUGUUUCCCAUUUUACUAUAGUAUGCAUUUUUUGGCUUCUUCCCUUUAGGGAAAUGAGUAUGUGAUAGUAAAGCGUGUCUUGGUUUAUGUCCUAGGAGUCAGAAGCUAAGAGACUCCUUUUUGUGCUUGUACAUUUGUCUUAACUGAAAAUAACCCAAGGAUAAGGAAACAAAUAGCUUCCUGAAAUUACUCGGAUUGCGGGGGUGAGGGGUGAGGGCUGGGGGGUGGUGAUUCUGUCUUCAUAGGAUGGCAGCAAAGGCCAAAGUCUUAUUUGAGUUAUUACCAUUAUUAUUCACCACACUUGCCAUCUUAUUUCAAGCCUACAGUGGCGGAAGUGGAGUAAGACAUCAUGUUGCCUCAAGUUUAAUUGGAAAUCGCGUGCCUUGUGAAGAAUGGACACUCAGUAGAUGCUUAUUGAUGAACCUGUUGGUUGAGGAUAACUCGCUAACUUUUCUGAGCUUUGUUGGAAAAACUCAGGUCACUGUAUCUCUAUGCAUUACAGAAAAUGGCUAGUUAAAAACUUGUCAAGGCCAGUUGCAGGCAUGAUACCAGCAGUCUGGGAGGUAGAGACAAGAGGACACAUCUCUGCUGCUCCCUUCUUUCCCCAUGGUUAUGCGCCAACUUUGGUUUCACCAGGCCUACAGUGCUUCCCAGGUUUGGAGUGUGGGGAAGGAGAAGAUUUAAUGGAAGCAGCUUAAGGGAAAUGCUCAAACUAAACUGAUACUUUCUUCAUGAUCUAGCAUUGAAACUUUCUGGACUUGACAGAUAUUUAAAAUUAACUCUUUUUCUCAUUAACAUUUUCAUGGGUUCUUCCAAGAUCCACAUUACCCAACCUGUGGGUUCCCAUGACAAGGAUUAAGGCAUCUCUGUUUCUUCUGGACCUUUAUUUACCUGGAUUCUUUCUCUAGGGACUGUUUACCCUUAUGGGCCAUCCUUUUGAGCAUAACCUAACAAGAUUCAUGCUGGCUUUAAGUGAGUGGUCCACAUUUGGUUCAUGGGAAAACCACAUAGUUUGUCCCCAGCAAACCUGGAAGUAAUAUUUAUUUUACUGCUGGAAUUAAGGAAAACCAAAAAUCCUAUUACAAAAUGGCUCCUCUAAACAUUCACAUUACCCCUUUUUGUCUCUACCCCCUGAGGAACUAACCAACUCUAGCUCUUUGGAUUUUCCAAAUGAGAGGUCAACACAUCGAUGUCUCCAAGACCUUAAGUUCUUCUAGUGGUCUCUUUAAGCUUCCUCCCUUGAAUUAUGGUGAAAAGGGACUGCCUGCUACCCCCUCCUCUUGAGGAGAGGGGUGGUAUCACAGCCUAACAAUAAUUUCCAAAAAUUUUCUCCUCCAGCUCUAAUGCUUAACCAGUUUAGACUUUCAAAGUGGAUAAUGUAAUUUAAAGCCUUACAGCUAGUUAUGCUCUACUUCUUCUAUAAGUCCUGCAACCAGGUGGUCUCAAUCCUCACUUGCGAAUACUGCAUUUACUCACCUUGUGCCCUAGCCAAAACUUCCACAACAAAUUCUGUGGUGCAUUUAAGUGAAAGAUGUUAUUUGAUUGAUAGAGAGAUAGAUAGAUAGAUACAGAUAUAGAUAUAGAUAUGUAUUAGAACCAUGUCAAAUGGUUAACUUUUUUAAAAAGGUAAAUUUUUUAUAUUGAGAUAAUUAUAGAUUCUCAUACACUCGUAAGAAAUAACACAGAAAGAUCCCAUGUAGCCUUUAUCCAGUUUCCCCAGUGAUAAUAUCUUGCAAAACUAUAGUCCAAUAUCACAACCAAGAUACUGGCAUUGAUAGAUCACUUCCAUCACCACAAACAUCCCUCAUGUUGCCCUUUUAUAGCCACACUCAUUUCCCUCCUGCUGCCACCCUCUCCUUUACCCAUAACCACUUAUCUGUUCUCUAUUUUUGUAAUUUUAUCAUUUCAAGAAUACUGUAGAAAUGGAAUAAUACAGUAUGUAUUUUAGGGCUUAUCUUUUCUACACUCGGCAUGAUUCUCUGGAGAUUCAUCCAGGUUGUUGCAUGUAUCAAUAGUUCAUUCCUUUUUUACUGCUGAACAGUAUUCCAUUGUAUGUAUGUACCAUAGUUUAACUAUUUGCUCAAUGAAAGACAUAUAUUAAUAGUUUCCAGUUUUUGC
rnacentral:lncRNA from 1 species